GAUGAACGCUGGCGGCGUGCCUAACACAUGCAAGUCGAGCGGACAGACGAGGAGCUUGCUGCUCUCACGUUAGCGGCGGACGGGUGAGUAACACGUGUAUAACCUACCUAUAUGACUGGGAUAACUACGGGACACCGGAGCUAAUACCGGAGGAGAUAUUGAUCCGUAGGGGUCAAUAGUGAGAGACGGCUUUGCUGUAUCUAAUAGAUGGAUCCGCGCCGCACUAUCUAGUUGGUACGGUAACGGGCUACGAAGGCAACGAGGCGUGGCCGACCUGAGAGGGUGAUCGGCCACAUUGGAAGUGGGACACGGACAAGACUACUACGGGAGGCAGCAGUAGGGAAUCUUCGGCAAUGGGCGAAAGCCUGACGGAGCAGCGCCGAGUGUGUGAUGAAGGUCUUCGGAUCGUAAAGCUCUGUUAUUAGUGAAGAACAACUGUGUACGUAAAUAUGCCCGUCUUGACGGUACCGAAUCAGAAAGCAACGGCUAACUACGUG
rnacentral:rRNA from 1 species